rnacentral:snoRNA from 1 species
ACAGCAGUGAUGAGCCUAUAACAUGUAAGAAGAAAUCCCUAGUUGGGUUUCUUCGAUGAAAUUUACUUGUUACGAAAAGUGUCAUUGGCUUCUAAGCUUU